GCCAGGCAUGGUGGCGCACGCCUGUAAUCCCAGCUACUCGGGAGGCUGAGGCAGGAGAAUUGCUUGAGCCCAAGAGGUGGAGGUUGCAGUGAGCCAAGAUUGUGCCACUGCACUCCAGCCUGGGCAACAGAGUGAGAUUUUGUCUCAA
ensembl:misc_RNA Metazoa_SRP Metazoan signal recognition particle RNA